rnacentral:lncRNA from 1 species
CCGGCCGCCUGGAGCCGCUCAGCGCGCCCGGCGAGGACCCGGCCUCGCGCUCCGCCAGCGCCCGCCUGAGCCGCCCGAGCCGCUCUCCGCCCGCCGGAGCCGCCACUGCUGCCGCGAGGUCCCGUCGGGGGUGCGCCGGCCCGGAGGCAGGGGCGUCCGGCACGAUUCCGGUCUGGUCACGUUGGAGACUGGUCAUUUUCUAGAGGGAAAGGAGAAGCCCAUGAAAGGAUGGUGAAUUCUCUUUGAGUUUCAGUUGCCAGAAUAAAAGGUGGCCUGCUCUGUGGAGCCCAGCGGAGUGCAGGGUGCACUGGUGAUUCCACAGAGGAGGAGCCUGGCCCAGAGCAUCCAGUCUGGCUCUGCGCACCUAGCAACCUCUGAGUAGCUGCCCCGAAGGGAGGUUUGCGUUUCUGAUUUCCCUUCCAGCUUCUCCCCGCCCCCCCGCACCCCAGCUGUGGUUGGCAUGCCUUUGCGUGUCAGGCUGCGUGGAUCCUCUCCAGCAUCAGCCUCUGUCGCCUCUCACCCUGUCAUCCCGUGCCCCUGCGCGUGCCCAGCCCACAUCCCAGCGUGCCCGCCCGCUCCUGCUCCGGCCCUGGCUCCCCAUCACAUCAGGGCUUCACCCCUCCCACUUUUACCCAUCUCGGCCCUCCCUGCGGUGCCCUUGCCAAUGCCACGCCUGUCUCUUGGCCUCUCCCUCCUCCGCCUGCAGGCCCCUGGCUUCCCUGGCAUCCCCCUCCUGCCUCUGACCCUGGGCAGGCUGUUGGUGCAGCCAGCCCAGAAGGGACCACGCAUGCAGCCCUCUCCCUCCCUCCCGCUCUGCACACUGGCCCAGAUCUGCACAGAAUCCGGUCACGUGCCUAACACAGCCCGAACUUUUCACAGUGUGGAUCUUUGGCCGUAGCCAGGGCUCAGGCCCACAGGCUCAGCGUGGCAUCCUGGGCCUGUCGGAUGCAGGUUCCCCCCUCCGACCGCUGGGUGCCGAGUUCCAGGCCUGUGUGAUUACUGCUGGCUCCGCCCCACGGCUCACACUCACUGUUCUUGUCCGGUACCUCUGCCUUCCUGAAGACCCCGAGGUGCCUCCUCCGAGCAGCAGCCGGGGGCAGGGCGGGUGGGAGGAGCACAGACUUGGAGGAGGUGGCCCUGAUCUCAGCAGAGAGGGCUGCGGCAGAGGUGGACUGACUCCCUGCCUUAGCCUCUAGCACAGAUGUUUACAAAGUGCUGGCUUUCUGCUCCUGGAAGCUCUUCCAAUCUGUCCUCAGUGGGUUUUUGCUUUAGGUCAUUGUUUUGCUGACAAAAUCUUCAAUAAAGAAGCCCCUUCUGUUGCAGAGGGCAAGAGAGCCUGUAGGUGGAAGCUCCUGAAUGCUGCUUCUGCAUACUCCAGGCUGUUUGAUGAGCAGGCAGGGUAACCCAGGGCCUGGCCUGCACCAGGCCGUGAUCCUCCCCAGCGCCACAAAGCAGAGCAAAACAAGCCACCCUCAGUGCACAGUGCUGCCCGCAGCCCUUUCGGGGACAGUCCCUCGGCUCAGCUCCAGCCUUCGGCCCAAGGUGCAGGCUCUCAAGAGGUUCUAGACUCCUUGUCAUCCAGAUCCAGCAGCAUGUGUCCUAGAAGGGAAGUACGGGACCUCUAGAGAUCUGAACCCACUUUGCUCGAGUGCUUCUUCACCCUAGACGGAGGGCACCUGGGAGGGUGACCCCCGAGGGGUCUUGCUUUGGCUUCUCCGAGGGGCAGUGGUGGAGUGGGAUGAACGUAGUGGGAGCAGGUGUGGCUGAGUGUGCGGUGUGGGCUGCAGGGCAGGGUGAGCAGCGGUGCUCCCUUCCCUCUACCUCUGAACCCAGGUGACAGGAGCACCUCCCCCUUGGAGUGGGGAAACUGCCAGUGGCUGCAGAACACAGCCGGAGAACAGGGCCCUCCGAUGCCUCUGCCCGUCAGGCCUGGCUGCAUGCUGGGGAGGGGAGUGUGCCUGUCGGUGGCAUCUGCAUUCCCAGGUGAGGGGCAACCUCCACUGAGGCCUGACCAGAAGAAACAGAACUGCAGACCCGGACCCUGGGGUCUGGGGUCAACAUGGGGAGUGGCUCAACACAGUUCCAGCCCUGGAGUUGUUUACAAUAUGUUAUUUGAAAUUUUAACACGAUCAGAGUUAAAUCACGACUAUUAAACACUCCCUUGAUCCAGGUACUUUGUGUCCCUUUAUUUUGAGAUGUGCCUAGGCUCACCGUGUCUGGUAGGGGGGUAGACGGGGUUUGCUCCCCUGGGAAGAGCUGCCUGUUACUAGGGCUGGUGUCAGUAGAAGCGUCCAGGGUCACAAGUGUGCUCCCGUGGGAACAGGGCACUGGAAAUCUGCUGCACCUGGCAAGACGGGCACUACAGCCCAGGACAGUGCCAGCUGAAAUGCAAUCCUCUGUGUGGCCGAGAGCUGCUGUCAAAAACAGAAAAGCUGGCUCUGAUUCUCUGAAUCCAAAUCCAGCCCAGUGAUCCCAGAGCCAGCUGCUCGGGCCCCUAAGGUGAGGUCUCAGGGCCCAGGCUGACCUCUUGUGUCCUCAUGGAGCCUACCAAGCCCUUGUGGUUCACUCGUUAACUUUGAUGAGAGGAAAUCUCUGCAAAAUCCUGUGUACGGUCCCAGAGACAUAUUUUAUCAUCAUGAUAAAGUAUCGUGUCGAUGUAAUCACAAGGCUUCCUAAGCUGUCUUCAUCAAGGGUAAGACAACCAGCAGUUAGCAGGUACCUGUAUUUAGCAAGUUAAACAGUCUUUGGUCUUGGGGCAGGGGAGAAAAUUCAAUGGUAGAGCAUGUACUGAGCAUGCAUAAGGCCUGAGUUCAGUGCUCAGCAAAAAUAGAA